rnacentral:rRNA from 2 species
GUAACAAAGUAGACGUAUUGGAAAAUGCGUCUGGCACAACAU